CCAAAGCAAAAUACAGCAGAAACAGCUUUCCAUUUUAACAAGCAAUACAGAAUACUUAGCAGUAGGGUACAGAUCCGAAGUCCUCACAGCUUUCACCAGUAACUUGUGAAGUGCAGUAGCUGCUGUGGCUGCAAUAUCCUUCUCAGGUAAUGAAAACAGCAGUGGGACUUGGAGCAGUCUCUGCUCACAGCUGUCUCAACUCCCUCCAGUACUGCCCAUGAAACCACCCCUCACUUACUCCUAAAGGAAAGCUACAGUUAAGGUGAGAAAACCUUAUCAAAGGCAACAGAGAAGACCUCCAAGCUCCUGCAAAUUUUCCUCUCACUCUGCAAGGAAUUCUCUUCCUCGCUUACAGCCUGGAACUUCCUGAGGACAACGUACAGUUUUCACAACAUACUUCAAAGAAGAAAAGCUGUCAGCAAUUCAUUGCAAUACCUCUGGAACAAACACUAACUGAAAAGAAAACAAGUCAAAAGGAAGAAGAACAUCUUUCAACAUUUUUGGCAAGAAAAUCUUAUUCAUCAAAGGAAAAAGCUUCCAUUGAAAAGACUCCAUCAACACAAGGGGGGCGAAUCUGGAAAGCGAUGAAGCUAAAUGCUAUGAAACUUCUUCCACUCCUGGCUAGACAGAUAGACUCCUGCAUCCUUUUUCCUCCCACACGCUCUCCCAGAGUUUCAUUCUGUUGAUCAAAACAAAGAAAGUAAAGUAACAACCACUAACUCAUAUUUGGAUUAAAUUUGUGCUACCAAAUUACCAGUCACACUGCCUAGAUAUGUACCCAAUAUUUAAAACCUCCAGGCAGAGACCACUGCUCUCAAUGCAGACAUCUGAAGUACCUUCCACGGGAUGGAUUUCCAGUAUACGAACUUUAGGAAAGAGGAGGAUGGAAACACUAAAACACAGAGUGUUUCCACAUAACUGAGGCUGGUCAAUGGGACAGACACUGCAUUUAAAUCCAGCUGGCACCACCUCUGCUUUCUGCCUGGAUCUGGCUUCUACCAGUUGUUACACAGGCAAGGCAGGAGCACCAUGGACUCAUUAGCACAGAGAUUUCCCUCCACAUACACAGGCAGUUAAUGGGAACUGGAGACGAACCAAGGGAUCAAGCUUCUCAAAAAAAAAAAAAACCAAAAAAAAAAAAACCCUCCCUGCAAAACGCAGCCAGAAACAGUGUGAGUAGGGAGUUUGUUCGCAAUGCUUUUUACAGAGAUACCCAUCAUUCCCAGGCUGCUAUUAACAGCUAUUUUAAGUGACAGAUGAUUCUCCUAAUCUGCGACUCCACAGUUACAUUUUCCUACUACCAAUGCAAAGCCACGGCCAAGGACACCAUCAGUCUCUGUUGCCCGGAUGCUUGGCAUUUAAAGGAUUGUGAUUUUCGUUUUAUUAGUUCAGCCUUUUUCAGGAAGCAGAUUACGGCAGGAGCUAGGAAAAGAAGCCAAAAGCAGCACAAGGACCAGGGCAAGCUACAAAGCAAAACUGGAACUACAAAGCUACCUGUUGUUCUGGAAAGGCCACUAAUUAGUGACUUUCUGAAGCCACAUGGAAAAAUAAACACUUUCCCCUCACAGUCAAGA